AUCUACAGGCUUAACACAUGCAAGUCGAGGGGCAGCAUUUCAGUUUGCUUGCAAACUGGAGAUGGCGACCGGCGCACGGGUGAGUAACACGUAUCCAACCUGCCGAUAACUCGGGGAUAGCCUUUCGAAAGAAAGAUUAAUACCCGAUGGUAUAAUCAGACCGCAUGGUCUUGUUAUUAAAGAAUUUCGGUUAUCGAUGGGGAUGCGUUCCAUUAGGCAGUUGGUGAGGUAACGGCUCACCAAACCUUCGAUGGAUAGGGGUUCUGAGAGGAAGGUCCCCCACAUUGGAACUGAGACACGGUCCAAACUCCUACGGGAGGCAGCAGUGAGGAAUAUUGGUCAAUGGGCGCAGGCCUGAACCAGCCAAGUAGCGUGAAGGAUGACUGCCCUAUGGGUUGUAAACUUCUUUUAUAUGGGAAUAAAGUUUUCCACGUGUGGAAUUUUGUAUGUACCAUAUGAAUAAGGAUCGGCUAACUCCGUGCCAGCAGCCGCGGUAAUACGGAGGAUCCGAGCGUUAUCCGGAUUUAUUGGGUUUAAAGGGAGCGUAGGUGGACAGUUAAGUCAGUUGUGAAAGUUUGCGGCUCAACCGUAAAAUUGCAGUUGAUACUGGCUGUCUUGAGUACAGUAGAGGUGGGCGGAAUUCGUGGUGUAGCGGUGAAAUGCUUAGAUAUCACGAAGAACUCCGAUUGCGAAGGCAGCUCACUGGACUGCAACUGACACUGAUGCUCGAAAGUGUGGGUAUCAAACAGGAUUAGAUACCCUGGUAGUCCACACAGUAAACGAUGAAUACUCGCUGUUUGCGAUAUACAGUAAGCGGCCAAGCGAAAGCAUUAAGUAUUCCACCUGGGGAGUACGCCGGCAACGGUGAAACUCAAAGGAAUUGACGGGGGCCCGCACAAGCGGAGGAACAUGUGGUUUAAUUCGAUGAUACGCGAGGAACCUUACCCGGGCUUAAAUUGCAUUUGAAUAUAUUGGAAACAGUAUAGCCGUAAGGCAAAUGUGAAGGUGCUGCAUGGUUGUCGUCAGCUCGUGCCGUGAGGUGUCGGCUUAAGUGCCAUAACGAGCGCAACCCUUAUCUUUAGUUACUAACAGGUCAUGCUGAGGACUCUAGAGAGACUGCCGUCGUAAGAUGUGAGGAAGGUGGGGAUGACGUCAAAUCAGCACGGCCCUUACGUCCGGGGCUACACACGUGUUACAAUGGGGGGUACAGAAGGCAGCUACCUGGUGACAGGAUGCUAAUCCCAAAAGCCUCUCUCAGUUCGGAUCGAAGUCUGCAACCCGACUUCGUGAAGCUGGAUUCGCUAGUAAUCGCGCAUCAGCCAUGGCGCGGUGAAUACGUUCCCGGGCCUUGUACACACCGCCCGUCAAGCCAUGAAAGCCGGGGGUACCUGAAGUACGUAACCGCAAGGAGCGUCCUAGGGUAAAACUGGUAAUUGGGG
rnacentral:rRNA from 1 species